rnacentral:lncRNA from 1 species
GAUAUUAACAAUAGAAGAAAUUUAUAAUUAUGAACUAACAUCAAAAGAUAUACUUUUAGGAAUGUCAUUCUUAGAUAAAUUAUACCCACAUAUAAUAACUAGAACAGACUGGUGGUUUACAACACCAUGCAAACAAAUAGAAAUAAUUCAGAAAAAAUUAGAACAAUUAUAUAGUGAAGAUCCAUUAAAAGGAUGGGAAAAACACAAAACUACUAUAAAAAUUGAAUUAAUAGAUAAGAAUAGCAUAAUAACACAAAAACCAUUAACAUAUAAUUUUGAUGAUUUAAAAGAAUUUAAAAUGCACAUAGAUGAAUUAUUAGAAAAACAAUAUAUACAAAAAAGUAAUAGUAAACAUAAUAGUCCAGCAUUUAUAGUAAAUAAACAUAGUGAACAAAAAAGAGGAAAAAGUAGGAUGGUUAUUGACUAUAGAAAUUUAAAUGCAAAAACUAUAACAUAUAAUUAUCCGAUACCAAAUAAGAUAUUAAAAAUAAGACAAAUCCAAGGAUAUAAUUAUUUUAGCAAAUUUGAUUGUAAAUCAGGAUUUUAC